ACAAGAUGUUACUAUUAUAUGAUUCAAAAAGGGCUAUACAAAGCUACUAUUAUAUGAUUCACAUUAAGGCAGUAUUCGAUAUUACUAUUAUAUGAUUCACAUUAAGGCAGUAUUCGAUAUUACUAUUAUAUGAUUCACAUUAAGGCAGUAUUCGAUAUUACUAUUAUAUGAUUCAAAUAAGGGCAGUAUCAGAAAUAAUAUGAUUUCUAUAAGGACAGCAUAACUAUUAGAAGUCAACUAUUACAUGUAUAUCACAAGAAAGAAACCCGGGAAGUAAGAAGUGUACAGUCACAUUUGAUAUACUCAUAUUAUACAAGCGCCAUGGAAAUACUGUGCAUUUUUUAUAAGUAUAUCACAGAGCAUUAAGAUAAUAAAAAUAUGCCAACAUCUGGUAAACAAACCUGAUUAAGUAUUUUAGUAAAUUAGUCUAAUAUUUUGUAAAAGUACAAUAAGAUACUACCCUACACACGUCGAUAUUCUGUUUCAGUAAAAGCAUAUUCGUUCAUUACGUCACUAAAAAAGGUACUACAUGAACGUUGUUGACCUAAAACAUUCGUGUUGUACAAACCCUCACCUUGUUUUUACCAAGAGUUUAGAUGGCGGCACUUCACUAGCUGUCCAAAUUGAGUGUAAAUACUCUUCGCUGUGCUGAAUAACAUACAGCUACAUUCAAGAAGAAGGAGACAGAGCAGUUCAGCUGAAACUUGAAAGUAAUGCCUACUUUGGAAGGUCAGAUCACAAAUUGUGAGUGAAAUCAGUUUUGAAAUGGACAAACAAGGUGGCAUAAAAAGAAACAUUUCCGAUUUCCAUCAAAUAAAGUUGAAGUAGACACCAUUGAUGAAGAUGAUGUCCUCCAUCGGCUCAAAAAGGUCUCUCUUGAAACUUCUGUUCUUAUAAGAAGGGUCUUAGAUACUGACAAUGCAUCAGAUGAUGAAUAACUACCACCGGUUCAUUCACGAUUGCACUUCUAUAGAUCUUUGGAUAGGUUCAUUUUUACUUUAACUAUAUUUAUUUGUAUUUAAUUCAACAAAGAUAAUUUCAGCAUUACUGAAUAUACUUAUUAGAGCAAUGUGUAUUUAAUAGUACAAGGAUUAUUCUUUUUACAGUUGCUGAUUAGUUUAUGUGAAGCAGAACAUUCUACAAUUUCAUUUGAAGAACUGAAAGAAAAAUUCAUUCUCCAGCUUUAUGCAUUUCUCCC